rnacentral:rRNA from 1 species
UACGGGGGGAGCAAGCGUUGUUCGGAUUUACUGGGCGUAAAGGGCGCGUAGGCGGCCAGCACAAGUCAGUUGUGAAACCUCCGGGCUUAACUCGGAAAGGUCAACUGAUACUGUGCGGCUAGAGUGCAGAAGGGGCAACUGGAGUUCUCGGUGUAGCGGUGAAAUGCGUAGAUAUCGAGAGGAACACCUGCGGCGAAGGCGGGUUGCUGGGCUGACACUGACGCUGAUGCGCGAAAGCCAGGGGAGCGAACGGG